AAGGAAUAUUGGUCAAUGGACGCAAGUCUGAACCAGCCAUGCCGCGUGAAGGAUGAAGGUCCUCUGGAUUGUAAACUUCUUUUAUCUGGGACGAAAACGGGAUUUUUAUCUCAAUUGACGGUACCAGAGGAAUAAGCACCGGCUAACUCCGUGCCAGCAGCCGCGGUAAUACGUAGGGAGCAAGCGUUGUUCGGAUUUACUGGGCGUAAAGGGCGCGUAGGCGGCGCGGUAAGUCACUUGUGAAAUCUCUGAGCUUAACUCAGAACGGCCAAGUGAUACUGCUGUGCUAGAGUGCGGAAGAGGCAACCGGAAUUCUUGGUGUAGCGGUGAAAUGCGUAGAUAUCAAGAGGAACACCUGAGGCGAAGGCGGGUUGCUGGGCCGACACUGACGCUGAUGCGCGAAAGCCAGGGGAGCAAACG
rnacentral:rRNA from 1 species